UGACCUGAGAGCAGGCAAGGUUACCCGCUGAAUUUAAGCAUA
rnacentral:rRNA from 3 species